GUGAGGAAUAUUGGUCAAUGGACGAGAGUCUGAACCAGCCAAGUCGCGUGAAGGAAGACGGUUCUAUGAAUUGUAAACUUCUUUUGUGCAGGAAUAAAGUGGGUUACGUGUAACCUUUUGUAUGUACUGUACGAAUAAGGAUCGGCUAACUCCGUGCCAGCAGCCGCGGUAAUACGGAGGAUCCGAGCGUUAUCCGGAUUUAUUGGGUUUAAAGGGUGCGUAGGCGGAUUGGAAAGUCAGCGGUGAAAGUUUGCAGCUUAACUGUAAAAUUGCCAUUGAAACUGUCAGUCUUGAGUGCAAAUGAGGUAGGCGGAAUGUGUUGUGUAGCGGUGAAAUGCAUAGAUAUAACACAGAACACCAAUUGCGAAGGCAGCUUACUGGGAUGCAACUGACGCUGAGGCACGAAAGCGUGGGGAUCAAACAGGAUUAGAUACCCUAGUAGUCC
rnacentral:rRNA from 1 species